rnacentral:ncRNA from 1 species
CCACGGUAUGUUUGUGGUUGAAAGUCCAAGCCAGCUGCGGGCAAAGGGAUCCACGUAAGCCGUCAGCAGGAAGCGGCGGUGAUCAUGGCGUAGUUUAGAAGUAAGUCCUCCGGGAAACUCGGGUCAAGGCAAGUGUGGGGUCAAAGACCAGGUCAAGUGCCGAGG